rnacentral:rRNA from 1 species
AUUGAACGCUGGCGGCAGGCUUAACACAUGCAAGUCGAGCGCGCGGCGGACGGGUGAGUAAUGUCUGGGAAACUGCCUGAUGGAGGGGGAUAACUACUGGAAACGGUAGCUAAUACCGCAUACCCUCAGAUGUGCCCAUAUGGGAUUAGCUAGUAGGUGGGGUAAUGGCUCACCUAGGCGACGAUCCCUAGCUGGUCUGAGAGGAUGCCCAGCCACACUGGAACUGAGACACGGUCCAGACUCCUACGGGAGGCAGCAGUGGGGAAUAUUGCACAAUGGGCGCAAGCCUGAGGCAGCCAUGCCGCGUGUAUGAAGAAGGCCUUCGGGUUGUAAAGCACUUUCAGCGAGGAGGCGUUACUCGCAGAAGAAGCACCGGCUAACUCCGUGCCAGCAGCCGCGGUAAUUC